GCUCUGCGCCUCCUCUGGGCGCACUGCCUGGGAGCACGAGACUGGUUUGUCUGAUGCUGCUGCCGGAGCUGAGGUCUUGCCUGGAGAUCCGAACGAGACACCACGUCAACCGGCGCGGGGAGUCCCGUGAAGACAUGAGGGCGCCAGGAGCGCAGUACUGGAAUACCUGAGUUUUGGCUGGGCACAGAACUGUCUGGAAUACAGACUGCAAUUCCCAGCCUUCUGUGCAGUUCUGUGUGGCCAUGUGACUAAGUUGUGGUCAAUAUGAGUCACGGAAGAAUAGAAGAACAACUCAGAGGAGGAAGAAGUCAGACAUAGCCAGACACGGCUGCUAGCAGUUCCACCAAUGAAAGAGGAGACCAGGAUGUUUAAAACAGGCAAACACAAGGUGCGAAAAACCAGAAGCGAAAACUUCUGAGGUCAUUUAAGCAAGGACUAUCGUUAUCCCCGGAAGCAGAGAGAAGUUCCCUUUGCCCAACAUCACACUGCAAGCACGUGUUGGAGCUGAGAUUCAAACCCAGGCAUCCAGGGUCCAGGGCCCAUGCUUUUAAUAUAUUCCAUAUCUUAGGAGAAUUUCCCCUAUUUAAACAAUAAAAGUGCAAAAAUCUUGUGGCUAGCCAAAAUUUUCAGUUGUUUGGAAAACUUAUUUAUCCAAUAAGUGGAAAACUCACUUGUCCUCCAACAAUUCUGGAUAAAUGAAAGAACGAAUUGAACUGAGACUGGAAUCCGGGUCUCCCAGUACUUUGUAGUUCCUAUCCAUAUGGCUUGUCAGGAAGGCCACAGGGAGGUUAACUAACUCUGCGUAACCAGAAACAAUCCCACAUCAGACUGUUGGCAGUGGGAGUGGAACACUCAGAGCUGAACCGCAUGCAAGAUGGUUGCAUUUUCAUUUGCAAUGUCGUCAUCUUCCUCAUGGCUAAAGAGGUAUUUUGGAGUUGACAUGAAGGCUACUGUAAUUUUUAGAGGCAUUUUCUUUCUGGCCUGUAUUUACAUAUUGUGGUAGAAGAGUCAGAAGACUUCAAGCUUCAAAAGUGAAUCUUGUUGCGAGUUACAAAAGCACCACCCGGUGGGGUGCAGCUCUCAGCAUGUGUCACCACAGGCACUGUGAUUUCCCUGUCUUCAUCCAACUUUGGUUGCUGUUCUUCAUGCUCAGGAAUUCUGCAACUGCUGUAGCUUUUGCUGUUGUUAUGUCUGUAGGUAUGGACUCAUUUCUACCAUUCUGGAAUGAAACAUUAUUUCAAGGGAAGCUUCUCAUUGUAAAAGGUCCACACAUUCAGAAGGAAACUGGGAGUACAUUUUCUCAUAGGCCUGGAGCAUUAACUGACUAUGCAUCUUUCCCCUCAGUGUUGUCAUCAUGUUGUAAGGGGAUGAGUCAUGGACAACAUUUUCACACACAUACGUGAGGUCCAUUGACCAGUCUUUAGGACAACUAGAAAUCUUUUCUUUCUUUGUUUUAAAAAGGAAGACAAGUCAAGAUACAGCAAAUAAAAAUGCUCAGCACAUUUGCUGAAAUCUUAGCAAAAUCAAA